rnacentral:lncRNA from 1 species
AAUUUCACACACUGUUAGCACUUUGAAAAGCUGAGAUUCACUGGUACAGAGGUGAGUAAUAGAAUUUAGGAUUCAGAGUGGCCUUUCCCAUUCCUUUCUUGUGCCCCCAAAAUUACCUCACGUUGGUUACUCGCAGCAAGGUUCUUUGAGUGUUACACUACAUUAAAUCCUCACCCUCCGUUCUCCUCAUUCCCGAUCAACGGUCCAGAUCUCCUCCCUCUUGCUUUUCAAUUAGGACGGCGCCACUACCACGCUUUUCGUUUUUUU